AAAAAGGGUCAGUUGGCUAAUAAUGCAACGCUCAUCCUUGUUGGUGAGUGCCGUAUGGCUAUCAAGAUAUAUAUAUGGCUGACAUAAUUUUUGUGAAAUUAUAGGGUUGACUUGCUAAACCGACCCUAAA